rnacentral:rRNA from 1 species
UAUUUUGACUAUACAAAGGUAUUGUAAUAAGGCUUUAAUUGAGUGCUAAAAGAAUGGACUUUCAAAAAAACUCUUUUUUAAAUUUAAAAAUUUAAAUUAUUUUUAUUUGUGAAGAAACAAUAAUUUAAAUUAAGGACAAGAAGACCCUAAGAAUUUUAGUAUUUCACAUAUAAAAUUAUAUAUGUAAAAUGCUUAAUUGGGGCGAUUCAAAAAAAUUAUAAACUUUUUUAUUAUAAAUAUGACCCAUUAUUAAUGAUAUUAUGAAACAAAUACUCUAGGGAUAACAGCGUAAUAAUUUUAGAUAGACCAUAUAGAUAAAAUAGUUUGCGACCUCGAUGUUGGAUUAGGAUUCUAAUUUAAUGCAGAAGUUAAAUUAAGAAGUUUGUUCAACUUUUAAAAUCC